rnacentral:rRNA from 1 species
UACGUAGGGGGCAAGCGUUGUCCGGAUUUAUUGGGCGUAAAGAGCGUGUAGGCGGCCAGACAGGUCAGCUGUGAAAACUCGAGGCUCAACCUCGAGACGUCGGUUGAAACCGUCUGGCUAGAGUCCGGAAGAGGGUCGUGGAAUUCCCAGUGUAGAGGUGAAAUGCGUAGAGAUGUGGAGGAACACCGAUGGCGAAGGCAGCCCCCUGGGCCAAAACUGACGCUCAGGCACGAAAGCGUGGGGAGCAAACAGG